AGCGAACGCUGGCGGCGUACUUAACACAUGCAAGUCGUACGAGGAUCGUCGGGUUAGCAAUAAUUCGGCGGUUCGAGUGGCGCACGGGUGAGUAACACGUGGGUAACCCACCCUUGAGACCGGGAUACCCUCUCGAAAGGGAGGCUAAUACUGGAUACGUUCCCUGGGACGCAAGAUCUGGGGAGGAAAGGUGGCGAAAGCUGCCGCUCUUGGAGGGGCUCGCGGCCUAUCAGCUAGUUGGUGAGGUAACGGCUCACCAAGGCUAUGACGGGUAGCUGGUCUGAGAGGACGACCAGCCACACGGGAACUGAGACACGGUCCCGACUCCUACGGGAGGCAG
rnacentral:rRNA from 1 species